rnacentral:tmRNA from 1 species
GGGGGCGACUGGCUUCGACGGGACUGGUGCAGCUGUGGGCGCGUGCCGAGGUCUUCGGGCACCUCGUUAAACACUCGGAAAAACUCCAACUGCGAACAACAACUUCGCCCUUGCCGCUUAACUUUUAGUUAGGCCUGCAAGUGCCCUUGAGGAAGCCCGCCCGGGGCGGCUUCAUGGGUAACGCAAAUCUGGGCUAGCUCCGACGUACGCCUUCGGCGGCGGAGCAAAACAAAGAGGGCUUAUCCUGCGGUGGGCUGCCCACUGGCCAGCUGUAGGAGACAUCAAUCAGAGGGAUACGCACGUAGUGCUUGUAGUCGAUCUAGCUUCGGACCGGGGUUCGAUUCCCCGCGCCUCCACUU